UAGAACUGAUUAAACACGUUCCAAAUAUAAUUUUAACACAGAGAUCAUUGCUACGAUAGCUGAGUAAUACAGGUUUCCUGAAUCGGAAGUGACGAACGCCAAAGGAAAACACGAGUCAUCCCUCUAUAUAACUGACUGAAGUGACGAGUGAUAACAGAUACAUGGGCGAAUUUCUGCUCACUAAUAAUUCCUUCGAAGACCAAAAGUUGUUGUGUGAAACUGUGAGAGGAUAUCUGACAAUUCAUAAAAAAAAAUUUGACUGCCACUAGAAAAAAAGAAUAUCUUCGGAGGCUCUGGAGGAGCUGAAAAAUACUUUUUCGAGUGGGCUUACUUUUGUGAGUAAGUCCACUCAAAACCGUGUUGAUUCAGUCGCGUCAGCUGCAGGCUUAACUUCACAGCAAGUUAAGAACAUAUGUAGUAAGAUGCUAAGAAUUUUGGUGUAUUCCUACGAAGGCGCAGUUACAGAGCGUGACCAAAAUUAAUCCUUCCCACGAAGGCGCAGAUAUCGACUUGUCGACUUUCGUUUGAAGAGAGGCAUGUUGCUAUUAGGACCCAAUUAACGGUCUUAAAGAUUUUAUGAAUUUAUGUUCACUCUGAACCAACAAUACUCUGGAAGCAUGGCAUGCAAGAAUCAAGAAGCUAGUUUGAAAAGCCCAUCCGAAUGUUUUUGAAAUGAUCACAUUUUUACAACAAGAACAAAAUAUUAACCACCAAGGAAGAUAUAUAAAUAUGCUCAAAUCCAAAGCCAGCUCCAUGAAUUGAAAGGAAGACACGAGGAAGAGGAAUUGACUUUAGUCGAGUAUU